rnacentral:rRNA from 1 species
UACAGAGGGGGCAAGCGUUGCUCGGAAUUACUGGGCGUAAAGGGCGCGUAGGCGGGCUGGCAAGUCGGGCGUGAAAUCCCUCGGCUCAACCGAGGAACGUCGAUCGAUACUGCUGUUCUUGAGGAUUGCAGAGGAGACUGGAAUUCCCGGUGUAGCGGUGAAAUGUGUAGAGAUCGGGAGGAACACCGGUGGCGAAGGCGGGUCUCUGGGCAAUUCCUGACGCUGAGGCGCGAAAGCGUGGGGAGCAAACGGG